CUCUGAUUGUAGCUCAUUUGAUGAAAUAGACAUCAUUAACAGGCUGUGUCUUUUUUUAUUUUUUUAUUUAUUUUUUUAUUAAUGCCGUUGAGGCAUCAUCUAUGUAUUCCUGACGAAUUAGUUUAAUACGCCCACAUCAAAGAAUGUUGCAUAUUUUAUACAAAUGUAAGGUGUAGGUAGUGGUUGCUCAGUGGUUAUGACAUCAGACUUCUGAUUGGAAGGUCAUGUGUACAAAUCCCAGCACUGCUACGGCUGGGCCCUCAACCCUCAGCUGUAUGAACAUAAAUCCUUCUAGAUAAGGGCAUCUCUAUGCCGUAAAUGCUUUGAUACUCCGGAUAGUUCACGCAUGUGCUGGUCUGUGUUUACGUGUGUUCGUGUUCAGCGUUUCCACAGUGCAGAUCCUGUCCAGUGCCCGAACGCUCGUGCUCUUUCUGAAGUGGAAAAUAAAUGAACGUUAAUCUCCUCUUCACAUCUCCGUGUCUUUGCAUGCGUUCUACUUAUCUGUCUAUGGGCUGACCAUAAACAGAGCGACCAAUGAGCAUUAGGCAUUAAUAAAUGCCGACGAGAUAGCAUUCUUGGUCCAGCCAUUCCUUCGAUUCAUGAUCUUCCAGUCACCUCGAGAAUAUUCAGAGCUUUUAGUAAAUUACGGUUUUUAUAAGCGGCUACUGAGAUGGACACGCUUAAGAGCAGGGGACAGAACAGCACGCAAGCUCGUAUGUUGAUCCUGCAAACCUUCUCAUUUAAUUGUGCGAGAGUGAUUUGGAAAUUCGUCACGCCCUUCUGCUGGAUCGUUACAAGCGACCACAAGAGAACAGUCUUUGUCCAACACUGCCAUCAUCUGGCUGUAAGAGGUCUGGAAAAAACACUUGCAGCAGUGUUCAUGUUUGUUGGCAAAUUUUUUACCAAAAUCCUUCACUCACAUUAAGCACCAUUACGAAUUAAUAGUGUGGCAAGUUUAACGGUACCCUGUGACGGAUUUGUCAUCCCAUCCAGGACGUAUUCCUGCCUCGUGCCCUGUAUUUCCCAGGACAGGCUCCAGGUCCACUGUCACAACGACCGGAAUAAAGCGCUUACUCAAGAUUGAAGUCUAAACUCAGUCACUACAGCCUGCAUACAUGUUAGUCACAUGACCUACUAAAUGAUCAAAAACUACUCGAUCGUGUAUCCUCUUUCACCAAGAACUAGAGAAAACUUUAUCAAAAGCUAAGUGAUAACAGUUUUAUUCCUAAAGUUUCAAAUGUUCACCGUAAUGGCUCGAUCUGUCCCAAUACAACGCCGCGGAUUUAUGCGGUGUUUAGAUCAACUUCUUAAAGCCAUCUGAUGUUAAAAAACAAACAAAAAAAAAGCUUUGACUUAUGACUUUAGACAUAUUUAUUAUUUUAAAGAGAUGUAGUGUUUUAAACUUUACUUUUACAAUGCAGCGAGUAACAGUCAAAAUGAUUAGGUAGAUACUAAAAUACAAAGUACCAGUGCUGCUUUAUUUCCCGAUCCCGUCAAAGAUAGCAACGUUCACGUGCAUCUACAAGCAAAGGGGAAAAGAGAAGAAAAUAAUAAUAAAAAAAUAAAUAAAAAUAAAAAAUCAACAAUAUUCCAUUUACAGCAGUAGAACUUCUCAGCCUUCCCAGUUCGAACUUCCCAGUCCCAUUCUGUUAUUGCCUUGACAAAUUUGUAUUAAUGAGUUCAUUAAUUAAUUCAGGCCUUUGACUCGAACCUAAAAUAUCCAGGCAAAAACAAAUGCGAAGAAAUGAAAUACGCUUCAUUUUGACCGUUAAUAAAAAUGUUUGUCAGCUGUAUUGAAAAACAAACAAUAUUACAAACAGUAACGUGUAGAGAAGCCGCUGAAAUCAUGACGUUUAAAAAAAAAACUAAACACAAUAAUCAGAUAUAAAAGGCUGUGACUCGUCACAAGGCCUUGUUUUAAUUCUUAAGAGUAGAAAUACUCACAAUGCUUCUUGCAAACAUUCCCUUCUUUUAUAGUAUAGCUUUUAUACUUAUAGCUCAUCACACACAUACUUGAAUAUAACGAAUAAUAAUAAUAAUAAUAAUAAUAAUAAUAAUAAUAAUAAUAAUUAGAAAAACAGUAGCAAAAUGAUUGCUGCUAGUACAUUUCUUGCUCUAGGUUUCUACUAAAAUUGCAAAUACAGCGUAUCGACAUUCAGUCCACAGACUUCCAAAAUUGGUAAAAAAAAAAUAAAAUAAAAAAAAUCAAAUCAAAAUCACAAUCAAUAAGAUAAAAGUACCUCCUUGGUGCAAAAUUGACGACGAACGGUACACACGAACAUUGCGUACGACGUUAAAACAAUACACAGCUCUCACAAAGAAAAUGGCCACUGCUUAUUUGGCUGAACAUAAAACAGCACAAUUGAUAAGCUUUACAUUCAAACACCUUAAAAAGCUGCCCCUAUAACAAGAAACCCCCCCCCCACCAC
ensembl:lncRNA